rnacentral:rRNA from 1 species
GUUUGACAUAGGUUUGGGAAACAGAUUAAUGAGGUAAAACUGAUUUAAAAGAGCUUGCUCAGAUAUGACGAUUUUACAUUGCAAAGAGUGGCGAAUGGGUGAGUAACACGUGGGAAACCUACCUCUUAGCAGGGGAUAACAUUUGGAAACAGAUGCUAAUACCGUAUAACAAUGACAACCGCAUGGUUGUUAUUUAAAAGAUGGUUCUGCUAUCACUAAGAGAUGGUCCCGCGGUGCAUUAGCUAGUUGGUAAGGUAAUGGCUUACCAAGGCGAUGAUGCAUAGCCGAGUUGAGAGACUGAUCGGCCACAAUGGGACUGAGACACGGCCCAUACUCCUACGGGAGGCAGCAGUAGGGAAUCUUCCACAAUGGGCGAAAGCCUGAUGGAGCAACGCCGCGUGUGUGAUGAAGGGUUUCGGCUCGUAAAACACUGUUGUAAGAGAAGAAUGACAUUGAGAGUAACUGUUCAAUGUGUGACGGUAUCUUACCAGAAAGGAACGGCUAAAUACGUGCCAGCAGCCGCGGUAAUACGUAUGUUCCAAGCGUUAUCCGGAUUUAUUGGGCGUAAAGCGAGCGCAGACGGUUAUUUAAGUCUGAAGUGAAAGCCCUCAGCUCAACUGAGGAAUUGCUUUGGAAACUGGAUGACUUGAGUGCAGUAGAGGAAAGUGGAACUCCAUGUGUAGCGGUGAAAUGCGUAGAUAUAUGGAAGAACACCAGUGGCGAAGGCGGCUUUCUGGACUGUAACUGACGUUGAGGCUCGAAAGUGUGGGUAGCAAACAGGAUUAAGAUACCCCUGGGUAGUCCCACACCGUAAACGAUGAGUGCUAGGUGUUUUGAGGGGUUUUCCGCCCUUAAGUGCGCGCACGCGUAACGCAGUAACGCACGUCCGCCUGGGGAAUUACGACCGCAAGGUUGAAACUCCAAAGGAAUUUGACGGCGACCCGCACAAGCGGUGGAGCAUGUGGUUUAAUUCGAAGCAACGCGAAGAACCUUACCAGGUCUUGACAUCCCUUGACAACUCCAGAGAUGGAGCGUUCCCUUCGGGGACAAGGUGACAGGUGGUGCAUGGUUGUCGUCAGCUCGUGUCGUGAGAUGUUGGGUUAAGUCCCGCAACGAGCGCAACCCUUAUUACUAGUUGCCAGCAUUCAGUUGGGCACUCUAGUGAGACUGCCGGUGACAAACCGGAGGAAGGUGGGGAUGACGUCAAAUCAUCAUGCCCCUUAUGACCUGGGCUACACACGUGCUACAAUGGCGUAUACAACGAGUUGCCAACCCGCGAGGGUGAGCUAAUCUCUUAAAGUACGUCUCAGUUCGGAUUGUAGGCUGCAACUCGCCUACAUGAAGUCGGAAUCGCUAGUAAUCGCGGAUCAGCAGGCCGAGGUGAAUACGUUCCCGGGUCUUGUACACUCCUAAAGGGGCACACCAUGAGAGUUUGUAUAUUGCAAAAGCUCGUGGGGUUUCUAAAGUGGGGAAAAGCGCAAU